UGCCCCAGUAACGGCGAGUGAAGCGGCAACAGCUCAAAUUUGAAAUCUGGCCCUCGGGUCCGAGUUGUAAUUUGUAGAGGAUGCUUUUGGCGCGGUGCCUUCCGAGUGCCCUGGAACGGGACGCCAUAGAGGGUGAGAGCCCCGUCUGGUUGGACACCAAGCCUCUGUAAAGCUCCUUCGACGAGUCGAGUAGUUUGGGAAUGCUGCUCUAAAUGGGAGGUAUAUGUCUUCUAAAGCUAAAUACCGGCCAGAGACCGAUAGCGCACAAGUAGAGUGAUCGAAAGAUGAAAAGCACUUUGAAAAGAGGGUUAAACAGUACGUGAAAUUGUUAAAAGGGAAGCGUUUAUGACCAGACUUGAGCUUGGUUGAUCAUCCGGCGUUCUCGCCGGUGCACUCUUCCGGCUCAGGCCAGCAUCAGUUCGUCGCGGGGGAUAAAGGCAGCGGGAACGUGGCUCCUCGGAGUGUUAUAGCCCGCUGUGUAAUACCCUGCCUCGGACUGAGGUUCGCGCUUCCGCAAGGAUGCUGGCGUAAUGGUCAUCAACGACCCGUCUUGAAACACGGACCAAGGAGUCGUCUUCGUAUGCGAGUGUUCGGGUGUCAAACCCCUACGCGUAAUGAAAGUGAACGCAGGUGAGAGCUUCGGCGCAUCACCGACCGAUCCUGAUGUUCUCGGAUGGAUUUGAGUAAGAGCAUACGGGGCCGGACCCGAAAGAAGGUGAACUAUGCCUGUAUAGGGUGAAGCCAGGGGAAACCCUGGUGGAGGCUCGCAGCGGUUCUGACGUGCAAAUCGAUCGUCA
rnacentral:rRNA from 1 species